UACGUAGGGUGCAAGCGUUGUCCGGAAUUAUUGGGCGUAAAGAGCUCGUAGGCGGUCUGUUGCGUCCGCUGUGAAAACUCGGGGCUUAACCCCGAGCCUGCAGUGGAUACGGGCAGACUAGAGGUAGGUAGUGGAGAAUGGAAUUCCCGGUGUAGCGGUGAAAUGCGCAGAUAUCGGGAGGAACACCGGUGGCGAAGGCGGUUCUCUGGGCCUUACCUGACGCUGAGGAGCGAAAGCGUGGGGAGCGAACAGG
rnacentral:rRNA from 1 species